rnacentral:rRNA from 1 species
CGGAUUGAAGGCUGAAAUUCGCCUUCCAUGAAGCCGGAAUUGCUAGUAAUGGCAGGUCAGCAUACUGCCGUGAAUACGUUCCCGGGCCUUGUACACACCGCCCGUCACACCAUGAGAGUUGGGAAUACCCGAAGCCUGUGAGCUAACGUUAAGAGGCAGCAGUCGAAGGUAGAAUCAAUGAUUGGGGUGAAGUCGUAACAAGGUAGC